UCAGCUUUAGUGUAUGUGCUGCAUAUACUAAAACUGAAAUGAUAUGGAGAAGAUUAGCACAGCCCAUGCACAAGGAUGACAUGCAAAUUCAUGAAGCAUUCCGUAUUUUU